CCUCGGUCCACCAGCAAAAUGCGAUUCGUAGUAUUCGUACCGGUACUAGGAAUCGGUGGGUACAGCUGAUGCACUGUAGCCUUAUUACCCAUGUACUCUGCGU